UGCAGUCGAACGGUAACAGGAAGCAGCUUGCUGCUUCGCUGACGAGUGGCGGACGGGUGAGUAAUGUCUGGGAAACUGCCUGAUGGAGGGGGAUAACUACUGGAAACGGUAGCUAAUACCGCAUAACGUCGCAAGACCAAAGAGGGGGACCUUCGGGCCUCUUGCCAUCGGAUGUGCCCAGAUGGGAUUAGCUAGUAGGUGGGGUAACGGCUCACCUAGGCGACGAUCCCUAGCUGGUCUGAGAGGAUGACCAGCCACACUGGAACUGAGACACGGUCCAGACUCCUACGGGAGGCAGCAGUGGGGAAUAUUGCACAAUGGGCGCAAGCCUGAUGCAGCCAUGCCGCGUGUAUGAAGAAGGCCUUCGGGUUGUAAAGUACUUUCAGCGGGGAGGAAGGGAGUAAAGUUAAUACCUUUGCUCAUUGACGUUACCCGCAGAAGAAGCACCGGCUAACUCCGUGCCAGCAGCCGCGGUAAUACGGAGGGUGCAAGCGUUAAUCGGAAUUACUGGGCGUAAAGCGCACGCAGGCGGUUUGUUAAGUCAGAUGUGAAAUCCCCGGGCUCAACCUGGGAACUGCAUCUGAUACUGGCAAGCUUGAGUCUCGUAGAGGGGGGUAGAAUUCCAGGUGUAGCGGUGAAAUGCGUAGAGAUCUGGAGGANACCGGUGGCGANNGCGGCCCCCUGGACGAAGACUGACGCUCAGUGCGAAAGCGUGGGGAGCAAACAGGAUUACA
rnacentral:rRNA from 1 species